rnacentral:rRNA from 1 species
GACGAACGCUGGCGGCGUGCUUAACACAUGCAAGUCGAACGGAAAGGCCCUGCUUUUGUGGGGUGCUCGAGUGGCGAACGGGUGAGUAACACGUGAGUAACCUCCCCUUGACUUUGGGAUAACUUCAGGAAAAUGGGUCUAAUACCGGAUAGGAUCUCCUGAUGCAUGUGGGGGGUUGGAAAGUUUCGGCGGUUGGGGCUGGACUGGCGGCUUAUGCGCUUGUUGGUGGGGUAGUGGAUUACCAAGGCUUUGACGGGUAGCCGGCCUAGGAGGGUGACCGGCGACAUUGGGACUGCGAGAGGGCCCAGACGCCUAUGGGAGGCAGUAGGGGGGAAUAUUGCACAAUGGGCGGAAGCCUGAGGCAGCAACGCCGCGUGCGGGAUGACGGCCUUCUGGGUGUAAACCGCUUUCGCCUGUGACGAAGAGUGAGUGACGGUAAUGGGUAAAGAAGCACCGGCUAACUACGUG